CAGUAGCCGCGGUAAUACGGAGGGGGCUAGCGUUGUUCGGAAUUACUGGGCGUAAAGCGCACGUAGGCGGCUUUGUAAGUCAGAGGUGAAAGCCCGGGGCUCAACCCCGGAAUUGCCUUUGAGACUGCAUCGCUUGAAUCCAGGAGAGGUGAGUGGAAUUCCGAGUGUAGAGGUGAAAUUCGUAGAUAUUCGGAAGAACACCAGUGGCGAAGGCGGCUCACUGGACUGGUAUUGACGCUGAGGUGCGAAAGCGUGGGGAGCAAACAGGAUUAGAUACCCGAGUAGUCCCUGUCUCUUAUAC
rnacentral:rRNA from 1 species